UUAGUUAGAUACAGUUAGUUAGAUACACUCUUCUAACUAAUGUCAGGGUACAAGUGUGUUUACGUGAGGCACUGAGUAAAGACAUGUCAGGCUGUGACUGUCUCCUCUCCUUGUUCUGGUCUGAUCCUCCUAUCAUCAUGACACUGUACUGAAGACCAUACCCUAACCAGUUCAUACUGAGUAAUGGAGACAAGGACAUGGAACGACUGAAGUGUUUUUAAAACCUUAUAUACCCUAUCUUAAUGAAGUACUGCAACAGCUGAACUCACUGGAUAACAGAGUGAUUACAUUACUCUAUGACAUUAUUUGUACCAAAGGAUUUAGACUCUCUUAUAAACCUGGACAUGAGUUUUCAUUGAUUGAGUGAUUUGAGUCUCAGACCUCAGUAUCUGCCCAUAUAGUUCAGCCAUUGUUUCUUUGAGUUGCAAUACUCCUCAGAGAGAGGAGAAAUGGCAGAGAACAGCCUCAGAGUACGGUACCUUCUUAGCCUAUCAUGGGAGCAGAGUAGAGAACUUUCACCCAAUCGCACACAACGGACUCCUCAGUCACAUUAACAAGGUAGUGUAGAGCCACACCCAAAUACCAAACACCACCCACUCAUUUAAUUACCACUUCUGUGACCUGUGAUUAUGUACAUGUACAUGUGUAUUGAUUGUUAUUGAAAAUGUUCUUUUGUUUUUGUUUGCCAAAUAAACUCAACAAUAGAUUCACUGAUUGAAUGGUAAGCCAAGAGAAGACAAUGAAAUAUGAUAGUAACUGGAGUCACUUACCAGCUUUCAUUAUGUUAUUUAUGCCAAUACUAAGUAACUGGAGUCACUUACCAAUUUUCAUUAUGUUGUUUAUGCCAAUGCUAA